UUUGAUCCUGGCUCAGAACGAACGCUGGCGCAGGCCUCAAGCCUGCAAGUCUAGGGGAUGUAGCAAUACAUCACCGGCGGACGGGUGCGUAACGCGUGGGAAUGUACGUAUUGGUUCGGAACAACUGAGGGAAACUUCAGCUAAUACCGAAUGUGCCCGAAAGGGGAAAGAUUUAUCGCCAAUGGAUCAGCCCGCGUAGGAUUAGCUAGUUGGUGAGGUAAUGGCUCACCAAGGCUCCGAUCCUUAGCUGUUCUGAGAGGAAGAUCAGCCACACUGGGACUGAGACACGGCCCAGACUCCUACGGGAGGCAGCAGUUGGGAAUCUUGGACAAUGGGGGAAACCCUGAUCCAGCCAUGCCGCGUGAGUGAUGAAGGCCUUCGGGUUGUAAAACUCUUUCGACGGGGACGAUAAUGACGGUACCCGUAGAAGAAGCUCCGGCUAACUUCGUGCCAGCAGCCGCGGUAAUACGAAGGGGGCUAGCGUUGUUCGGAAUUACUGGGCGUAAAGCGCGCGCAGGCGGCUAUCCAAGUCAGUGGUGAAAGCCCGGAGCUCAACUCCGGAACUGCCAUUGAAACUGUUUAGCUUGAGGACGAGAGAGGUGAGUGGAAUUCCCAGUGUAGAGGUGAAAUUCGUAGAUAUUGGGAAGAACACCGGUGGCGAAGGCGGCUCACUGGCUCGUAUCUGACGCUCAGGCGCGAUAGCGUGGGGAUCAAACAGGAUUAGAUACCCUGGUAGUCCACGCCGUAAACGAUG
rnacentral:rRNA from 1 species